GACGAACGCUGGCGGCGUGCUUAACACAUGCAAGUCGAACGGAAAGGCCCUGCUUUUGUGGGGUGCUCGAGUGGCGAACGGGUGAGUAACACGUGAGUAACCUGCCCUUGACUUUGGGAUAACUUCAGGAAACUGGGGCUAAUACCGGAUAGGAGCUCCUGCUGCAUGGUGGGGGUUGGAAAGUUUCGGCGGUUGGGGAUGGACUCGCGGCUUAUCAGCUUGUUGGUGGGGUAGUGGCUUACCAAGGCUUCGACGGGUAGCCGGCCUGAGAGGGUGACCGGCCACAUUGGGACUGAGAUACGGCCCAGACUCCUACGGGAGGCAGCAGUGGGGAAUAUUGCACAGUGGGCGGAAGCCUGAUGCAGCAACGCCGCGUGCGGGAUGACGGCCUUCGGGUUGUAAACCGCUUUCGCCUGUGACGAAGCGUGAGUGACGGUAAUGGGUAAAGAAGCACCGGCUAACUACGUG
rnacentral:rRNA from 1 species